GAGUAGCUGGGACUACAGGCGCAUGCCACCAUGCCCAGCUAAUUUUGUAUUUUUAGUAGAGACAGGGUUUCUCCAUGUUGGUCAGACUGGUCUCGAACCCCGACCUCAGGUGAUUUGCCCGUCUUGGCCUCCCAAAGUGCUGGGAUUACAGACGUGAGCCACCACGCCCAGCUCUGAGGGCUUUUUAGCAGGUGAGCCGCUUCCAGCCAGCCGAGGCGUCCUCCCUCCGUGAUGCCAUUUCUGCUCCACAGUGUGUGCACUGUGCUCAGCUUGACUCCCCACUCUCCCAAAACUAACAUUCCUGUUUAAUUCCAUGAGAGCGGGGCUCAGAGUAAACUUGGGCCAAGGCAUCAACACGGCCCUGCCGGGGGAUUCCCCCCUCCUGUGCUUCGGAGAUGGUUUUCUGCUCUUCUUAGGGGGCGCCUGGCCCCCUGGCCUUUGUUUUUGCCCCUGGGCAUCUGGCACCCGAUUUGGAGCUGGGCCAGUCCCCCACAGUGCCCCAGGCCUGCUUUUGGGCUCUGGAGUGUUUGAAAUCGCCGAAGCUUCGGGAGUUAGAACCGGGACAAAA
rnacentral:sRNA from 1 species